AUGUCGUCCUCCUCAAGCAUCGGCCAGUCCUCCCUUCCUGGGCAGGUCACGGAGAAGCUCACCCGCACCAACUACGUGUUGUGGCGUGCGCAGGUGACACCGCAGCUGAGGGGAGCUAGUUUCUUCGGCUACGUCAACCAGACCAUGCCGGAACCUGCCAAGUUCCUCACCACGAAGGACAAGGACGGGAAAGAUGAACAGACGCCGAAUCCUCUUCAUGCGAUCUGGUUCAAGGAAGGACAGCAGGUACUUGGUUACUUGCUAAACAAUCUCACCAAGGAAGUCCUCGUGCAGGUCACAUCCAUAGCU
rnacentral:rRNA from 1 species